ACAAUUAUUGAGAAUUUUAUUACUAUUUUUUGUAGCACUCCUUAUCAAUUAAUAAUCAACAUUUCAUACAAUACACGUUAUGCACAUUAUUUUAAACAUAAGUUUACAUCAAUUUGGGGAAUAAAUUAAACAAAAAAAACAGCCAGUGGAGCCAGAACAACUGUAUUCACAUCAUUUUGCGACAGUACGACGGAAAUACGGCAGAGGCAAUUUACAGCACAAACAUUUCUUACGCUCAUUUGGCUGGUUAAUUCAACAAAAUAUAGCCCGAUAAUUUAGAUUAUAUUAGGAGGACAAACAUGAUUACAAAAAUGUAGUCAUAUUAUAUAACAGUAAAGACAUUUUGUAUCGUAAAAUUGUACAGUCAUGAAAUUGCUAGGACUUUUGUUGUCAAACGGCUACGUCACAUUGAGCACGCGCAGUAGCGAUUAACGGUACCAUGACUGCGCAUGUUUCUAACAAAUGAAAAUAUUGCUACAUUAAGCAGCUAACUAAAAGUUCAUUGUCAUUAACAUGUUAUAACUUGCGUUCAACGACAGCACAUACUAAACGUACGACAUUAUUGUCCUUUCGUUGAUUCCAACGUCACAUUCCAUCAAUAAUAAUGGUUGGAAAAAGAGAAAUUGGAAGUUUUCCAGACUCACCGUGCGAGCUCCGGUCAGUUCCAGGAAGUAGUCCUGCAUGCUCCCCAUGUCUUUGUGCGUGCUGAUAUCAACACACUCCAAAUGUCCCGGCUUGAACUGGUACUUGGACAAAACAUCCCUGGCCAUGAUACAGUACGAACAUGUGGGCUUAAUGAAGACGACCACUUUGUCGCCUUUGAUUUUGGCCUGAACAAACUGCUGCGCCAUCUUGAGCUGGGAGAGACAAGGCUGGAGUGGGGAGUGGAGGAGGAGGAGCGACGCAUCAAAAGCCUCACAUUGCCUUCCCAACGAGACCAGCCUCUUAACAGGCACCUCCACAGCCAAGCCCGAGUCCCACCAGCUGUACUCCGGUGAGAGCACGCAGCUCGGUCGGUGAGUAAUAAAGUAUCUGUUCAAGUAGCUCUCCUCACGGCCACGUGCCAUUACGCCGUUGGCUUGGUCCUUCUGAAUCAGCAUCGAACAACCUCGAGCCAGUCUGUACAUCUGUGGAACCAGCCCACCGUACAACUCUGACGUGAAGUAGUAGUCGCCUUCAGUGUUCUCAACGUAAGCAGACGACACCUCAUCCGUUUCAUACGGGAAUGCCUUCCUUGGUUUGCCGUAGAGUUCCGGAUGCAAGGUGGCCACAAGGUCGCCGAGGAUUUCUUCUCCGACGGGAGCCAGAAACUCCUGGUCGAUGUCUGCACAGAAUAUGUACUCAACGUCUCUACCAAUUUGAUCUUUGAUGGUUUCGGCCAACAGCGUCAUACGGCGGUACACCAACUUGUCCCAACCUGGGAACUCUGCAACAGAAACUACUGUCAGCCGUCGCCCAGACCCCAACUUCAUUGGAGGAUCAAAUCUGUGAGAGUUAUCUGUGAGAACGUAGUAAGUGACCAUGUGACCAGGAAGGAAGUACUCCUCAGCUGAUGAUAUGAAACGUCUCACAAAUUGGGCGUACUUUCCCACCGCGAGGGCCAACAAGCCUAUUCGGAUUUCUCGUUGUGCAAGCUCUGUUCUUCGCUUGACCGAGUAGCGGGCGUCACCCCAAACUAAAGGAGCACCCCAAGGCGUUUGCAGUGAUCCUGACUUGGCGCUGAUCGUGUCUGUCUUUUCUCCGACGUCUGCUUCCAUGGAGCGGAAGUAAGGAUGAGGGGACCUCACGUUGGCAUUGGCCUUGCGUCCGUGGAGGAAGUCUGACAAAAUAAAGCAUCAGUUUUACAACUUAAACAUGUACAACAUGUACUGGAGCCUACCCCAGAUGACUAUGGGUGAGAGGCGGGGUACAUUUUAGACCAGGGGUCUCAAACUCAAUUUACCUGGGGGCCACUGGAGCUAGGGUCUGGGUGAAGCUGGGCCGUAUCAGGUAAAAAAAAAAAAAAAAAAUAUAUAUAUAUAUAUAUAUAUAUAUAUAUAUAUAUAUAUAUAUAUAUAUAUAUAUACAUAUAAAAUAAAAAUUGAAUAAAAAUAUUAAUAAAUAUUAAUAAAUUUAUAUAAUAUAACCCUCCACUUUUUCAGUGCUUUGGGUCUUUGGAAAAGCUCUGAUAAAACAUUAAAUUAUUAUAAAUUAUGAUAAAUACAUUUUUAUUUAUUAUUAAAUUAUUAAAUAAAUGUUUAAUGUUAAUUUUUAUUUUUCAACACAAAAUAAGAUGGAAAAAUAAAUAAGCAAAUCAAAAAACAAAUGAAACAAAUUAACAGAUUUAUUUUGAUUUAUUAUUAAAUUAUUAAAUUUAUAUAAUAUAAUAUUCUUCAAUGCUUCUGCUAUACCCUCCACUUUUUCAGUGCUUUGGGUCUUUGGGAAAAGCUCUGAUAAAACAUUAAAUUAUUAUAAAUUAUGAUAAAUUAAUUUUUAUUUAUUAUUAAAUUAUUAAAUAAAUGUUUAAUGUUAAUUUUUCUUUUUGACACAAAAUAAGAUGGAAAAAUAAAUAAGCAAAUCAAAAAACAAAUUAACAAAUUAAACCUUCAUAUUAAGGCAGGGGCCUCAAACUAGUGGCCCGCUAUGUAGUAUGUUAAAUGAUGCAGUAUUAGAGGACAAACCUCCUUGUACAAUGCAUACUUACAUAUGAUAAAAGACAGUAGAAAGAAGUACAGAAGUAGAUGCAACCUGGACACUCUGACUGCUCCUGUAUGGACGAUCAGAUCAACACACAAAUUAUCCUCCGAGCUUCCUGCAGUGAAAGCAGUGAAGCUCUGGUCUUCAAAGGAAUGCAAAGAAUGUGCUUCUCAAGAUAUUUCUCCCCUCGGAACCGUGGCAUGCUGCAUUCAAUGAUAUAACCAUCAUCCGUCUGCAGUCUCUCUACACAAAUAUAGUUGAUUUUGUAAAAUAUUUUAAUGUAUGAUGCUCUAAAACAGAUGAAUUAUGAUAUAUUUUACUGACAUUUUCAUUUUUGUUAAGUGUUAACCUUUCAGUUGCAGAGUGCACAGGAAGGAAGCACAGGGAAGUGAAGGCACCACGGCGGUGUUUCACCAGGCAUAUGAUUUAAGAUGCACACAAUUCCAUUCAUCGGCAUGUUUCAGUAGCAAAUAACGUGUUAUUUGUGCAUUCUUGCAUAACACAAAGACAGCAUGACAGGAGGUGGAGUCCAACAGUGGCUCCUGUUUUACUGACCUGUUGGUGUCUUGCAGAACGGGAACAGCGCCAUGCUGUGACCUGCUGCUGGAUGAACACACAAACUCGUUGCCGAAAUGUCUCUUUCUGUCUUUCUGUCUUUCUGAAGGUGCUGUAAAACGCAAAUAUGUCGGGUUUGUGUGUCUUUUUCCUCUUUUUUUUUCUUUUUCCACUCCCUCUUUGCGUAUAUUCUCCUCCCCUCUGUUCUUCUCCACUUCUUCUCCUCACAGCAACCAGAUGUGUGCAGUCUGGGCAAUAACUAGAGCCAGAUGUGAAAAUGAUACGGGAAAACUAGUAAAAUAUAUAAAAUAGACAAAGAAUGAGAGCUAUAGUAGGAAAUAACUUUGUUAACGUGUGAUAUUUUAUGUGACCACUAGGUGGUAGAUGAUAUCAUGGCAAGUAUGAUAGGUCAUCUUUUUACACUCACCAAUUGAAUAUUCAUUCAUUUUCUACUACUUAUCCUUACAAGGGUCGCAGGGGGUGCUGGAGCCUAUCCCAGCUGUCCCCCUGGUGGCCAGCCAAUCACAGGGCACAUAUAGACAAACAACCAUUCACACUCACAUUCAUACCUAUGGACAAUUUGGAGUCGCCAAUUAACCUAGCAUGUUUUUGGAAUGUGGGAGGAAACCGGAGUACCCGGAGAAAACCCCCCCACACACAGGGAGGACAUGCAAACUCCACACAGAGAUGGCCGAGGGGGGAAUCGAACUCCAGUCUCCUAGCUGUGAGGCCUGCAGCCAUAAUGUAUAUUCAUUCAUUCAUUCAUUCAUUUUCUACGACUUUUCCUCACGAGGGUCGCGGGGGCGCUGGAGCCUAUCCCAGCUGUCUACGGGCGAGAGGCGGGGUACACCCUGGACUGGUGGCCAGCCAAUCACAGGGCACAUAUAGACAAACAACCAUUCACACUCACAUUCAUACCUAUGGACAAUUUGGAGUCGCCAAUUAACCUAGCAUGUUUUUGGAUUGUGGGAGGAGUACCCGGAGAAAACCCACGCAUGCACGGGGAGAACAUGCAAACUCCACACAGAGAUGGCCGAGGGUGGAAUCGAACUUGGGGCUCGUAGCUGUGAGGCCUGAAGCCAUAAUGUAUAUUGUAUGUCCAAAAUAAUGAAGUGUUUAUGUUGAUCUUUACACCUUAAUGCACACCUUAACUUGUGCUUUUCAAGUUUUAUAAACUGUAACAAUAAGAAGUCAUAACUGUCGUGAGUGCCUAUGUGCAAGUAUUAUUUACUGCAGAAACCAAAUUCCGCAAGAGACUCCACAGACUCCAGAGGUCAGUUUGCAGUUUAUUACGAUAAAUCUCUAAUUUUUGUACAUCCAUACAGAAUUUGCAACAUAAUUUGGAUAUUUUGAAUAACAAAAAAAGGUAAAAGAUUAUAUAAUAUAGGCUACGCUAUGAACAAAUUACAAGAUGCAGCAUUUUUCCAAAACAUCAUCCUUAUCCUGUCUUCCUGUUGGCAGAGAAGCGGUUUGGCUGGCGGUUUGGCACUGAACUACAUGGACUCUGCAUCGAGGUUUUUUCCGAUCAAUCCUUACGUACCGACUUGCUUUGAAAUACGAGGACGUAUGCGGCGGGGUCGGCAAGGUCAACUAAGGCUUUGGCAUUGAGUAGUCCGAAACCGAAGCGACUGUUCACCAUCAACCCUGCGCCAUUCCUCUUCCAGCCUGGAUUAUUAGCCAAGGGAUCAAACUCUGAAGUCCAAACCACAAUAUGCUGCAGGUCUCUCCAUGUUAGGUCUGGACUGCGGAGGAGAAGAAGGCAAGUCGCUCCCACAUCGGUUCUCUUUCUGCAUCACCACCUCCAGACCAGAAUGCAGGUCUAUCCUGAUCCUCAAUGUAAUCUUAAAGCACCAAAUGACUGACUUAUUGACUUAUUUAGUCAGUAUAGUUACUCCAGACCCCAUUCACUGUGCAAUAUCUCAUCAACCUCCAUGUGCAAUAUUAAGGGCUCUAAAUGCAAUAUACUAAGUUCUAUGUGAAGUAUUUCCAUAAUGCCUCAUAUUAACUCUCUAACAGGAUCUCAGUGUAUAGACUGGUUAUACAGUAAACCUCGGAUAUAUCGGACUCGGAUAUAUAUCGGAAAUUCGCUCACAACGGACAGAUAAAAAAAGAACCAAUUUUUCUGUAAUGCAUUUCCAAUAAAAAUUCAUUGCAUACAUAUAUCGGAUUUUUUAUAACGGAUUUCGCCUAUUUCGGACAAAAUCUCCAGUCCCGUUCCAUUGCAUUUCCAUUAAAUUUCCCUCGCAUAUAUCGGAUGGCCGCAUCGUGGCGCUCCGAUUCGCCGAAUCGUGACAGGCCGCUAUACGACGUCAUUUGCAGCAUUUGCAGCGUUUCCUGCGCGUCCAGGUACAUUGGAAACAUAGUCAAGGAAGUGCCUUUUUAUAACGGAUAAAAUCCAAUUUAUUUAAAACAGACAUUUUCCGGUAUACGCAUAUAACGGAUUUCGCUUAUAUCGGACAAAACCAGUGGGAACAAUUGAAUCCGAUAUAUCCGAGGUUUACUGUAUAUCUCAUCUCGUUUCAUAUUAUCUACAUACUGUAUUGUAUAUAACUCUGGGAAAAACUGUUGAUUUUUGUUAAUACUUGGGUUGUUUAUAUUUUUUAAUAUUUUUUAAAUAUUUUUUUAUUAUUUUUUCAUUUUUUAAAUAUUUUUCUAUAUUGUGUAUUUUGUACUGCUUAUCUGACUCUGUACUCUUGCUGCUGUGCAAUACAAAUUUCCCCACCGAGGGACGAAUAAAGGCAUAUCUUAUUUAUUCCCCAUAAUGUUUUAAGUGUGUAUCCGCAGAUGAUGUCUUCAUUUACACGCAGAGGAAAAAAACAAUCUGACACAAGCAUAUAACCGCCAUCGUACGCAUAAGAAAUACAGCCCGGCAGGCGAUGAGUCAUGCCCCUGGUAUCAUUUUCAUGCAUGCAUCCACUCAUGCUAGGAAAACGGCAGUCAUCUUCUCCAAGUCUCUUCUAUGCUGCUUUGCAGCAUUGCUCAUCCGACUCCGUCACACAUGCAGCCCCGCCCUCUCCAAUGUAAGCAAACAUCUACCGACGUCAUCAUCCUCUAACUUGUAGCGCCACCAUUUCACAUAAGCACAUAUCACAAAAAUCAUCAAAUUAGGUUUUUGACAUUGUGAUAUUGUACUUCAUUCCGCAAAGCUUUUUUUUUUAUCCUUGAUGGGUGGGUGACUCAUAAUGCUUUAGAGUGGUGGGUGGAUGUGGAAAUAUAUGAAUUGCCACUUUAAGGUAGUCAUCAUGCCUAGUUAGACAAAAUGAUUGGUAAAUGUUGUUUUUUGUGCAAAGUGGCGCAUUCUCAGCAAAUGCACAAACGAUGCACAUGGCUAAGUCAGAACCGGGGAGGAGAGAGAGAGAAAAAAGAGAUGAGUAAUCUGACACCACACUCGAUCAUACACAAAUCUGAUUGACAGCAUACAGCAGAAUAAGAGAACAAAAGGGCAGAAUUCACCUGUUCACUGGUCAGUAAUGUUGUGUAAUGGUACAGCUGCUGCCUUCUCAAGGGGACCUAUUAUGCUUUUCCCACUAUUCUGACCUAUACAUGUAGUUAGAAUGGUAUUGGUAAUGGUAAUAUUUCAUUUGAACAUGCAUCCUAUAAUCAGUUCCCAGUUCCACAUGUCCAAAAGGAGUAGGAAGAAGCAAAGCUUAUUAAAUCCUACCCCUCCAUCUGGUACUUUUACAAUCAGUAACUGUUACAUUUGUUCACUUCUUGCUUUCCUAAUAUAUUUUAAUUUUAAUUUUAAUUUUAAUUUUAAUUUUAAUUUUAAUUUUAAUUUUAAUUUUAAUUUUAAUUUUAAUUUUAAUUUUAAUUUUAAUUUUAAUUUUAAUUUUAAUUUUAAUUUUAAUUUAUUUGUAUAUUUUUUGUUAUUUCUUUAUUUUUUUCCUGUGUUUAACGAUGCCAACUUUUCACAUAAUUUAUUUAUAGUUUAUUAUCAACUCCAAUACCGUUUACCAACCCCUAUAAAGUAGAGUUGCCGGAGUGGGAGUGCCUGGAGGCGGGUCGUGGGUGGAAUAAAUUAAAACAGACCUUUUUCACAGGAAGCACAAAAUCCAAAAAAAUCUAGCUGAAUAGGUACAAAUUCUGGAAGAUCUAGAAACCUUUUCAUGCUGAUUAUUGUGUGUAGCUGCUCUAUAGGAGUCCACAACUGAAUACAAAGGGUCAAAAAAUGAGCAUAGCUAGCGGGUGUGGCCAGACACAAAAUGAAAUUACACACAGCUGUAAAACCAGUUCUCUGCUCUAACUUGGCCUCAAUGGACUAAAAAAAUCCCAUUUGGGAUAAAUUGGGAUUUAAUGCAUUGUGUUCUGCCCUGUUCCAUCCUGCUGGAUUAUAUUCUCUGCACUACUCUCAUCCCAACUCGGAUGAACUCUAUGUAACCAAUUAAGCUAAUGGCUCUUUUGGCUAGAAUGGCUUCAUUGUAUGCUGUUCUAUUAUUGUUUGUUUAUACGUUUUUUUUCCUUGUAGCACCAUUGUUAGCAUUCUGAGCACAAAACUGGGAUCAACAUGACAGGCUUCCUAACCGCCUCUGGGUGAAGAGAGCAGCAGAAAAACAUAUAUUUUUUUAUAUUUGUAGUAAUAAAUCGUGUCAAUCAUUGUUUUCAGUUGCACA